rnacentral:rRNA from 1 species
AAAUUGAAGAGUUUGAUCAUGGCUCAGAUUGAACGCUGGCGGCAGGCCUAACACAUGCAAGUCGAACGGUAACAGGAAGCAGCUUGCUGCUUUGCUGACGAGUGGCGGACGGGUGAGUAAUGUCUGGGAAACUGCCCGAUGGAGGGGGAUAACUACUGGAAACGGUAGCUAAUACCGCAUAACGUCGCAAGACCAAAGAGGGGGACCUUCGGGCCUCUUGCCAUCGGAUGUGCCCAGAUGGGAUUAGCUAGUAGGUGGGGUAACGGCUCACCUAGGCGACGAUCC